ensembl:lncRNA
CUUGGAGCAUGUCCCCUGUGGAUAAGGGGGGACAUCUUUACUCUUUAAUAAAAAGAUGAUGGAGGUCACUUGGAGUUCUUCUCUUUGACAUUCUGGAAAGGUACAAGUCCUAGACUUAAGUUCUGGUGCUACAGCUGUAGCACCAUAGCAAAUUGCUUAACUGCUUUGAACCAGGAAAAUGUCCCCCCAAAAUAGGGAUGGUAAUAAUGUCAUCAAAGGGGAGAACCUGAGAAAGAGUUUUAGAAACUAUGAAGUGCUGUGAGGAUAGUAGAGGUGAGUGAAAUACCACAGGACUCUGGAGUUUUAUUUUAUUGGCUCAAUUACUUUAUUUUUCCCAGGGCUGUAUUCAUUUUCCCACAGGCCUAGCUCAGCAACCUUCACAGCCCCUCUCUUCAGCAUUCCUUUUGCCCUUGCAGUCAUAGGCUGCGUACUUUUUUCUCCACUCACGCUGACACAACAGUGUCAAACUGAUAGCCCAUGGGCCAGACUUUGGCAGCAGACAUAUAUUGUUGGGCAUAUAUCAUGUUUUGCAGGGCAAGAAAGGGAUUAUUUUCUUCAGUUAUUGAAAGUUGAGAGUGUUGACAUAGAAACUCAGGUUUCCAGCUUUCCUUUCAAAAACCAAAGGAAGACAAGGUGCUCUUUAGUUCACUGCAGUCCCCCACCUGGUCCUCUUAAGCUCAGUCAUGUCCUCAUCCUUGGCCCUUAUAGACAUGGUUUGCCAUCUCUUGUAGGCUUUCCUUUCUUUUUCAUUAAUCAUGACCAAUGACUAGUUCUCUUUCCCUUCUUGCUAUUAUUUUUAGGAGCUCAUUUUUAUAGCCAGUGUAGUAGGGAUUACUAGAUUUAUUAUUUUUUUUUUUGCUUAAAUUCUUCUACAUUUUAGGUAUACAAUACGUUUACAUUUAUCAUUGGGUGUUUGUACCUCUACAUGAUGUAUCUUGGUUCUUACUUUUUUCCCCCCAGGGAUUACUAGAUAUUUGUUAAAAUGUGAUGUUUAUAUCCUAGCCUGCUGUCUCUUAGAAGAUCUUGCAUACUCCUUGAAUUUCUAGAGGUCUUACUUAUAAAAGCUUGUUCUUUCCAAUCCUCCAUGCCCAUAUUCUGUAGAGUGGUGGUCAAGGAAAUGGAGAGCCCACAUUUUCAGGCUGACCAUUCAUCAGCUUUGGCUUGUAAUUCUAGAAUGGGAUUUAACCUUUCUGCCUCAAUCUUGUCUCCACUGCCUGACUUCAAUUACAGCACUCAGUGUGGAGUUGCAUUUAUAGAAUUACUUUUAGAUAUUUCUUUUUUUGGGGGGGUGGUAUUCAGGAUCGAACUCUGGACCUUGUGCUUGCGAGGCAGCCACCGGAACCACUGAGCUAAAUCCCUGGCCCUUACUUUGAGAUAUUUGCAGCAACACCCUAAGGAGACUGGGAGCAGAUACUUUAUUCUUCUUUGUCCCUUGUGGCUUCCUUUCCUCCGAUCCUGGCACACAUUGGACCUUCAGGCAUUAAAUGGACUAGAAUUAGACUCAUGCCCUUCAUGAAAUGACUGUAUUGGAACACUCCAUGCAACACAUUUUAUCCUUGGUUACACUACCUGAAGGCAAGUUUCCUUUCCCUUGACUCCUUUGCUUGUGAAAAAGCAUUCCAUUUUAUUCUGAGUGAGAGAGUGGAGCACAUUUUAACCUAAAGCACAUAUUCCUACCUUUAAAGCACUUACUAGCUUUCAACCGCUGUCUCGCCCACCAGGGUUUAAAUAUGUUACGUGUCAGAAGUGUAAUUGCUCCUGUAAUGGACAGUCUCGGCUACCGCGUGUGUCUAGACUUUUUGGCUUAUCAUCUGGUAGGCACUGCGGAAUCACUUUGGAUGACAUUUCCAGGCCACACCCAAACAAUCUGUGCUCUAAGAAUCUUGAUAUUUAAAGUGGCUUAGCGAUGAGUAAAUAAGAUGUGCGGUAUUUCCCACAAUUUUGCUGAACUUACCAAGGAAGGGGAUUUUUCUGAUGAUUAUACAGUGGUUUGCAGCCCCAAAUGGUGAUGUGAUGAUAUAAUUGCUUCUAGGUGGAACUAAAUUGUUGGUGUUCUGUGACCUGCGGACAUUUAGUGCACACUGGGAUUUCGAUUAAACCUUGUUCUGAGACCUUCCCACUUCGCUGUCCAUACUUCGCCAUCUGUAUAAGGAUCCCGAGCACUCUAUGAAGAUCACUGUUUACUUUUUGGAGCCCCAACUCAGACAAUAAAAUCCGUCGGGGCGAAGGCUGCUCUGUCCCCGCGGUACCCACAGAACUUGGAGCUCAGCAGAUCGUAAAAUAAAUGCUGCCUGCUCGGGACAGAGCAGCUCAAUUCUACACCCUGGCGGCCAGCUCCGAGAUGUGGCGUAGGGGUGCGGCCGGCCAGGCAGGCAGCCAGCAGAACUCCUGACCCAGGACGGGCUCCGCAAGUGCCCGGCGCCCACUCGGACCCACGCGGCGCGAGAGGCCCGGACUUCAGGCCAGGAGGCCCCGGGGGCGGG